GGAGCAGCGCCCUCAGGUGUCAAGGAGGGGACCUGAGUGACGCGGAGCCACUGACUGGGGUUUCCCUGUCCUGCGGGGCUCGCGGGAGCCAGGAGCAGAAGCCACAGCUCUCGAACACACGACAGGCAGUCAGUCAAGUCAGGCUCCAGCAGCAGUUGCCGGCGUGGGGCUUAACACGAGAGGGGCAGCGCUGGGUGAAUUCCCCUCCGAGCGAUCCCAGGGCUAGGACCAAGCGCCUGCGCCCGCUUCUCCGACCCGGCUCCCCACACUCCCCCCUGCCCCGCUGGCUCCUUCCCGGAGGUUCCCCUGACCCGCGUGCAUUGUUGGGCAAGGAGAAGACGGUGCAGUGAGGAGCGAGGGUGAUUGUCCACUUACAACAAAGUUUGCAACUCCCUGGAUAGUCCUUUCUACACCUUAAGAGAACCCCUUCCCCUCUUCAAAAUUGGUGUUCCAAGGCAAGAAGUUAUUUUCACCAGGGAAGCCUGUGAACAGAAAGAGCUCCUGAGACUACACCUGCUUUUAAUUUGGUGUCAGUAGGAACGAUGGAGAUGAAAACCUCAUCAAGACCAGCACGGAUUUGGGAAUCACCAAUAGAGUCAACCCCUCACUCUAAGAUGAGGAAACUAAGGCCCCCUAAGGUGAACUGUGAACUGAAUUGAUGAAAGCUGGGAUCAAAGCCCAGAUCUCUGGGCUCCUUGUCUGGUAUUUAUCUUCCCUGCUUUCUUCAUAAUUAAAUUCAGUGUAAUGACGCAGACGUAGAGCAAGAUCCUGGAGUGUCUUCUUAAUCAUCAAAUAUUGUCCUCUAUAAAGUUAUAAUGUUUAGUGAAUUUGCUGUAGUCUCAUUCUUUUAAAAAUGGCUAACACAUGUGUGAGAAUUCGCUAGUGACCACCUAGAGUGCUUGUUCCCUAAGGGAUUAUUGACUAUUCUUUAAAACUAUAACAACAGACAACAACAACAACAAAAAGGAAAAUAAAAUUAAGGUUGAGCUUAAUCACUUCACUCACUUAAGUACUUAUUACACGUAAAAGCAGUGUGUUGAGGAGGUUUUGGGAUUGGUGAAUCUCAUGUUGAGGUGGUUUUAGGAUAGCCCUUUACAAACAUAAAAUAUUAAAUUACUAAAUUGCAUGACUGUACUAGUCCAUUUUCACGCUGCUGAUAAAGACAUACCUGAGACUGGUCAAUUUACAAAAAAAAGGAAAAAAAAGGUUUAAUGGACUUACAGUUCCAGGUGGCUGGGGAGGCCUCACAAUCAUAACAGAAGGCAAGGAGAAGCAAGUCACGUCUUACAUGGAUGGCAGCAGGCAAAGAGAGAGAGUUGUGCAGGGAAAUUCUCGUUUUUAAAACCAUCAGAUCUCGUGAGAUUCAUUCACUAUCAUGAGAACAGCACAGGAAAGACCUGCCCCCACAAUUCAAUCCCCUCCCACCAGGUUCCUCCCAUGACACGUGGGGAUUGUGGGAGUUGCAAUUCAAGAUGAGAUUUAGGUGAGGACACAGCCAAACCAUUUCAAUGACUUACACAUUACUUCACAUUUUUCAUAUCCUUCCACUUCUUAGUUUCUACCACAA
rnacentral:lncRNA from 1 species